GCUGUUUUUUCUCUCUUGUUGAUUUGCAUUUCCGCUUCAUUAACUUGGGCACACAUCAAACUAUAUAGAUCAACUAUAUUAUGUGCCGCACCUCUGACAGUCUCUCUCCAUCUCGCUCUGGCCAUUAUCAACAACAUAUAUAUAUUUUUCCCCACAAUUUAUGCCACGAAGAACAUUUUCCAGCAACAACAGAAAGCAAUGGGGAAAUGGGAAAAUGCUUCACACUGUGCUGCAGUUUUCCGCGCAUAAAUUAAUGGAAACGAACGACGAUGAUCAUCAUGGGGUCUCAGGAGGGAAGGACGGUGCAAAGUGGAGUGGUUCUGACGGAAAGAAAGGGCUGGGAAAUGUAUGAUUAAACAUUAAACAAGUGGCAUAAAAAUGGAAAAAACCGCUGCGAAACUGCUGCAAGGUGCUCCAAUGAAAUGUGGGAGAAAAUCAACACGAUCCGGUGGGGGUCAGGUCAGUUCAGAGGUGCAGACAGAAGUAUGAUGUGUCUCUGGAACGAUAGCUUGAUUAAAGUAGAUUUGAAAAGUGCA